GCGGACGUCAUAUAGUGGCAGUAUGUGGCGUUGCCAACGCUGAUGCAGGGGUUCGAUUCCCCUCGUUCGCACCA
rnacentral:tRNA from 1 species